rnacentral:rRNA from 1 species
CCUACGGGAGGCUGCAGUGGGGAAUAUUGCACAAUGGAGGAAACUCUGAUGCAGCGACGCCGCGUGAGCGAUGAAGGAAUUCGUUUCGUAAAGCUCUGUCCUAGGGGACGAUAAUGACGGUACCCUAGGAGGAAGCCCCGGCUAACUACGUGCCAGCAGCCGCGGUAAUACGUAGGGGGCGAGCGUUGUCCGGAAUUAUUGGGCGUAAAGGGUACGCAGGCGGCCAUGUAAGUCAGAUGUGAAAGAUCACGGCUUAACCGUGGUAAGCAUUUGAAACUGCUUGGCUUGAGUUAAGGAGAGGAAAGUGGAAUUCCUAGUGUAGCGGUGAAAUGCGUAGAUAUUAGGAAGAAUAUCAGUGGCGAAGGCGACUUUCUGGACUUAUACUGACGCUGAGGUACGAAAGCGUGGGGAGCAAACAGGAUUAGAUACCCCUGUAGUC